AUACGGAGGGUGCAAGCGUUACUCGGAAUCACUGGGCGUAAAGCGCGCGCAGGCGGCUAUUUAAGUUGGAUGUGAAAGCCUAUGGCUCAACCGUAGAACUGCAUCCAAAACUAUUUAGCUAGAGUGUGGGAGAGGAAGAUGGAAUUAGUUGUGUAGGGGUAAAAUCCGUAGAGAUAACUAGGAAUACCAAAAGCGAAGGCAAUCUUCUGGAACACUACUGACGCUGAGGCGCGAAAGCGUGGGGAGCAAACAGGAUUAGAAACCCCUGUAGUCC
rnacentral:rRNA from 1 species